rnacentral:misc_RNA from 1 species
ACAUAAUAAUGGCCAUCAUCAUCACCAGCCCGGUCCAGCCAUGCGGCAGAAAGCCGCCCUGUUCCCACAGGUUGCGCACGGUAGCUUGCGGACCAGCGGUAUCGCUGAAGAGUAACCACGCGCCGAACAGAAUCAUAGCGAUGACGGCGAUCACUUUAAUAAUGGCGAACCAAAACUCCAUCUCACCGAACACUUUAACGUUGGUCAGGUUGAUGGCGUUGAUAAUCACAAAGAAGGCUGCCGCAGAAGCCCAGGUGGGGAUCUCCGGAUACCAAAACUGGAUAUAUUUACCCACUGCGGUCAGUUCCGCCAUGGCAACUAAUACGUACAGCACCCAGUAGUUCCAGCCGGAAGCGAAUCCGGCAAAGCCGCCCCAGUAUUUAUAGGCGAAGUGGCUAAAAGAGCCGGCGACCGGUUCUUC